rnacentral:rRNA from 1 species
UACGAGAGGCCCAAACAUUAUUCGGAAUUACUGGGCUUAAAGAGUUCGUAGGCGGCAUGGAAAGUAGGGUGUGAAAUCCCUCGGCUCAACCGAGGAAUUGCGCUCUAAACUGCCGUGCUGGAGGAAGCUAGAGGUGAGCGGAACUGAUGGUGGAGCGGUGAAAUGCGUUGAUAUCAUCAGGAACACCGGAGGCGAAGGCGGCUCACUGGGGCUUUUCUAACGCUGAGGAACGAAAGCCAGGGUAGCGAACGGG